rnacentral:lncRNA from 1 species
ACACAACCUCGCGACCCUUGGCACAGCCAGAGCAAACACAGUCUGCACGCAAUGCCGGUUUGAGUCAGCGUAAAAAAAGCGCAUGGCAGCUUCGUGCGUGACAGAAAGAUGGAUGACCGAAAUAUUUCCGCACGCAACUAUUGUUUUUCCCGGACCUGAGCCCUAGGACCAUGCCUCAGGACUACCUGGCCUGAUGACUCCUUACUGUCCCCAGUCCACCUGGCCGUGCUGCUGCUCCAGUUUCAACUGUUCUGCCUGCGGCUAUGGAACCCUGACCGGUUCACCGGACGUGCUACCUGUCCCAGACCUGCUGUUUUCAACUCUCUAGAGACAGCAGGAGCGGUAGAGAUACUCUGAAUGAUCGGCUAUGAAAAGCCAACUGACAUUUGCUCCUGAGGUGCUGACCCGUUGCACCCUCGACAACCACUGUG